rnacentral:lncRNA from 1 species
CAGUGUCUUGGUCACCCAGGCUGGACUACAGUGGUGCAAUCAUGGCUCACUGAAGCCUCAACCCCCUGAACUCAAGCAAUCCUCCCACCUCAGCCUCUGGAGUAGCUAAGACUACAGGGGGCUCUUCCCACUUCGCUUGUCACUUCUCCUUCCUGCUGCCUUGUGAAGAAGGUGCCUUGCUUCCCCUUCACCUUCUGCCAUGAUUGCAAGUUUCCUGAGGCCUCUCCAGUCAUGCUAAACUUGACAUGUUAUCUUUUAUCUAUUGGACUAAAACUAACAUCACAGAAUGAAAAUGGAG